rnacentral:lncRNA from 1 species
AUGCAUGGGGCGGGGGACCAUGGCAGGACGGGCUGUGCCAAGCUGCGGGUUGGACCUGCCUGGUGUAGCCAUUCCUUUUCCAAGCUUCUGAUCGCCAGCAGAACUGAAGUCAUUAACCAGCUGAGGCUUCUCCAUUGUUCUCUGACUGCCUUUCUUCUCCAAGACAAAUUAAUGGGGCAAAACAGAAAACACCAGGCUGUCACUGCAUUCACCAGGCUGGACUCUCAUCCAAGAUGUCAUUCCUCUUGAGCUGCUUGGUUCAACUUUAAAAGUGGGAACUGUUUAACUAAGGAAUGGUGCGAUCAGCUCCCUUGUUGCUUGAGUAUUCCCUGAGAUGGUGAAGCGUACUACAAGACUCUAAUCUUAAA